rnacentral:lncRNA from 1 species
AACAAUUCCAACCCAACCCUCUCAAAUCCCUCAUUUCCCUGACCAAAUUACAACAGCCCAACAACUAUACUGCUAGCAGCCUAACAAAAAUAAUUAGACCCGGCCCACACCCCUCAUUUCCUUCUUAUCCACAGGCCACAGCAAACAACCACCAACAUAACGCAAAACAACAACAUUCAACGGCAAAACUCAACCUCUAAACAUAUAUGCGUAACAGCAACAACAACACUCCAGCAAUAUCACGCGUAAUGGAGACAACAACUAUCCAGCAAUAUCACGGGUGAAAAAGCAACAACAACGACCCGCCGAUAUCUAUUUCUGCAAAUCCAACCCGGAUUCACGCGUACAAUUGACAACACAGCAAAACCAUCAAAAGCAAAACUAACCGUUCCCCUCCAUUUACCCUUUUACCCCUCCUCGUACAGCCAAAGAUGGCUAAAAGCUUCAUCUACUUUUGCUGUCAGAUGGUGUUCAUCCAUUUUCGAUAAAACACCAAUGGAUACAAGAAAUUCGGAUUUGAAAUUCAAUAUUUGNNNNN